UUAAUACCCUCUCUGUCCAGUAUUGACCCUCCACCCUGCUUUAAUACCCUCUCUGUCCAGUGUUCUGACCCUCCAACCUGAUUUAAUACCCUCUCUGUCCAGUAUUCUGACCCUCCACCCUGGUUUAAUACCCUCUCUGUCCAGUAUUGACCCUCCACCCUGGUUUAAUACCCUCUCUGUCCAGUAUUGACCCUCCACCCUGGUUUAAUACCCUCUCUGUCCAGUAUUGACCCUCCACCCUGGUUUUAAUACCCUCUCUGUCCAGUAUUGACCCUCCACCCUGGUUUAAUACCCUCUCUGUCCAGUAUUGACCCUCCACCCUGGUUUAAUACCCUCUCUGUCCAGUAUUGACCCUCCACCCUGGUUUAAUACCCUCUCUGUCCAGUAUUGACCCUCCACCCUGGUUUAAUACCCUCUCUGUCCAGUAUUGACCCUCCACCCUGGUUUAAUACCCUCUCUGUCCAGUAUUGACCCUCCACCCUGGUUUUAAUACCCUCUCUGUCCAGUAUUCUGACCCUCCACCCUGGUUUAAUACCCUCUCUUAACAGAAGGGUAGUGUGCUCUUAUGGCCCUGUGCCAUGCCAGGGGCGGAGGGGUCCGUGUGGUUUUAAUACCCUCUCUUAACAGAAGGGUAGUGUGCUCUUAUGGCCCUGUGCCAUGCCAGGGGCGGAGGGGUCCGUGUGGUUUUAAUACCCUCUCUUAACAGAAGGGUAGUGUGCUCUUAUGGCCCUGUGCCAUGCCAGGGGCGGAGGGGUCUGUGUGGAAGUCGAGGUUGCUUACGUUCAGUAAAUAGUGUCUCUGGAUUUUCCUUUGGGGAAAGUUUCUCUUUUGUACUUUUGUAGGUUUUUACUGUUAUUUUUCUGCCGGUUGUUGUUUUCCUUGACGGUCUUUGGGAGUACGAAUCCUUUCCAGGAGCCUGUUCGGCUGCGGAGGGAAGCCUUGUUAAAGCGCUCCUUCCUGUUCCUGUCCAAGAAGUGAGACAUCCUGUAGAGGUGACCUCCAAUCAGGAAGAGACCGUCUGUCCGCCCGCUAUAAACCCAUUAAAUCAUUUUUUUAUUGGAUCAGGAACCCCGUUAGCUGUUGCGAAAGCAGCAACUACUCUUCCUUGGGGUCCACACAAAACAUGACAUAAUACAGAAAAUUAAUAGACAAGAACAGCUCAAGGACAGCGCUACAUAAGUCAAAUAAAAAAAACAAACGGCACACGUAGCCUACAUAUAAAUACACACAAUAUCUAGGUCAAGUAGGGGAGAGGCGUUGUGCCCCGAGGUGUUGCUGUAUCUGUUUGCUGUUCAUUUGAGCAAUAGGAGUUGGGAGUUCCAUGCAAAUAGGGUCUUUUUUAUAAUACUGUACACCUGUCUUGAAUUUUGUUUCUGGAUUUGGGGACUGUGAAAAGAGCCCUGUUGUCUGGUGGUGUGUGUGUGUGUGUGUGUGUCAGAGCUGUGUGUAAGUUGACUAUGCAAACAAUUUUGAAUUCUUCUUUUUUUGAUGCAGUCAAUCUCUCAACUCUUAGCCAAGAGAGACUAGCAUAGUAUUUACAUCAACCCUUUGGUUAUUAUUUACAGUACAAGUUAAUGAUUCAUGAUUUAUCUAACACUUUUUGGGGGGGUUGAUUCCAUCAUUAUUUCACGGUUUUGAUAUCUUCACUAUUAUUCUACUAUGUUGAAAAUAGUUAAAAUAAAGAAAAAAAUCCUGUAAUGAGUAGGUGUGUCCCAACUUUUGACUGGUACUGUAUAUUAGCCCUCUGAUUACAAUGAAGAGCCAAGCGUGGCUCUCUGUUCGGGACCAGCUGCAGCUUAACAAGGUCUUUCCUUGCAGCACUGGACCACACGACUGGACAAUAAUCAUGAUUAGACUAAACUCUGCAGGACUUUGUUUGUGGGGUGUGGUGUCAUAAAAGCAGAGCAUCUCUUUAAAGGACAGACCUCUCUCCAUCUUUACAACCAUUGAAUCUAAAUGUUUUGACCAUGACAGUUUACAAUCUAAGGUAACGCCAAGUAAUUUAGUCUCCUCAACCUAUUCAACAGCCACACCAUUCAUUAUCAGAUUCAGCUGAGGUCUAGAACAUAACCACUCUGGGAUAUUCGGGACGGUAGCGUCCCACCCCGCCAACAGCCAGUGAACGUGCAGGGCGCCAAAUUCAAAACAACAAAAAUCUCAUAAUUCCUAGAAAUAAUCCCAUGGAAUUCCUCAAGCAUCCAAGUAUUUUACACCAUUGUAAAGAUAAACUUCUUGUUAAUCCAGCCACAGUGUCUGAUUUCAAAAAUGCUUUACAGUGAAA